GAGAUUGAAACGAGAUAGAAUAAAUCGAGUUAAAUGAGCAUAAAAAUGCUUUUCUCACCCGUCUUCCUCCAACCCAAAUCCCUUCCCUCCUCUCCAUCCCUCCACCUCUCCCUUUCCAACUCCCUCCAUCUCUAUCUCUCCCCUUCCUCCAAAUCUCUUGCCAUCAUGUUCGAUCUUGACAAGGCUUUCAUUGGUUCUUCUGAGAGGCCAUCUAGUAGCAAG
rnacentral:lncRNA from 1 species